rnacentral:rRNA from 1 species
UACGUAGGGUGCGAGCGUUAAUCGGAAUUACUGGGCGUAAAGCGUGCGCAGGCGGUUUUGUAAGCCAGAUGUGAAAUCCCCGGGCUUAACCUGGGAAUGGCAUUUGGGACUGCAAGGCUCGAGUGCGGCAGAGGAGACUGGAAUUCCUGGUGUAGCAGUGAAAUGCGCAGAUAUCAGGAGGAACACCGGUGGCGAAGGCGGGUCUCUGGGCCGAUAUUGACGCUGAGGAGCGAAAGCGUGGGGAGCAAACAGG